AGCCCACGGAAGGAGAGAGGGAGAUAUGGAACCAGAUCAGUGCUGUCCUCCAGGAUUCCGAGAGCAUCCUCGCAGACCUGCAGGCUUACAAGGGCGCCGGGCCAGAGAUCCGAGACGCAAUUCAAAAUCCCAAUGACAUUCAGCUUCAAGAGAAAGCUUGGAACGCGGUGUGUCCUCUGGUCGUGAGGCUAAAGAGAUUUUAUGAGUUUUCCAUAAGGCUAG